GCGCCCGUAGCUCAGCAGGAUAGAGCGAUCGCCUCCUAAGCGAUAGGCCGUGUGUUCAAUUCACGCCGGGCGCGCCA
rnacentral:tRNA from 1 species